CACUAAAUGCCUAGAAAGAAUAAAGGACCUGUAUGACAUUGUUAUUCAAGGCUGGACUGCACAAGGUGCUGCCGAACAAUUCAGUGAACCCUCAUCAGCCCAGGUUGAACCCCCCACUUGUCCACCAGAUCCACAGGUAGCAGUGGCCAAACGUCAUCCCUCAGCAGCUACUACUGGACCACCAAUGGUCACGCCUCAUCCACAGGUAGCAGUGGCCAAACGUCAUCCCUCAGCAGCUACUACUGGACCACCAAUGGUCACGCCACAUCCACAGGUAGCAGUGGCCAAACGUCAUCCCUCAGCAGCUACUACUGGACCACCAGCAGCCCUUAUUGGUAAAGAUGAAAGUGUGGAAAAAGGAGGCUGUCCAGUUCCCACUACAGUGCGGCUACAUAAAAGGAAAG